AGCCCCGUGGUGUAGAGGACAAUCAUCUCGGACUUUGGAUCCGAGGACGGGGGUUCGAAUCCUCCCGGGGCUA
rnacentral:tRNA from 1 species